CGUUAAUUAACAAAAAUAUUUUCUCGGGAGACUUCCAAGAAUCACCUUCGUCACUUGAGAAAACAAUGAAACUGUCCAAUUAAAAGAAAAAAUCCUUUCUUCUUUGUCGGUUUCUCGACGAAUCCCUGUGAAGGUGAUGCCUGAUUCCUUAAACUUCGUAGUCGAUUGGAGAAGAUAUUUGAAGAUUGGGCUACAAAGGCGUCCAUAAAUUCAGAUCCAAACAAAUAAUCAAAGGGAUCAGAGAUCACAACAAAACGAAACCUAAUUUGAUUGAGAAUUCCCUUCGAGAUAAAGUAAAGUGAUGGGUUUUUUGCUUACCGGAGGUGAUGGCUUCUGAGAAAGAUUACUGUGAUAUGAUGUGAAUAGAAGAUCCAAUUAUACCAUAGAGACACAUAAAUCGUCAAUCGUGUUCACUUAAAUAAAUCUUUCUCAAGAAAGGUAAGAUAUUUACAUAGUUUUUGCUUUUGAAAUAAUAGGAAUAAAUAAUGCUUAAUCCGAAAGUGAUUGUUAAAAAUUGUUAGUAAAGGUUAGUAGGAAUGGGAUUUUGAAUCAAUCAUGUUGAAUGUUAGGGAGAAAGAGUUUUAUUUCCGGAAUUUCUAUCUUGCAAACAAAACACAAAGUAAGUAUAUUUUAUAGAUUAUAGGAAACACUUACACGGAGCUGGAAAUGUAGUCUAAGAAGUAUAUAAGACUACUAAAGUCGUAUGUACAAUUAUAAAGAUAAGAACUCAUAAUCUAUAUUAAUCUCUGUCACUACAAAACUUGUUGAAUCUUCUAAGAGUUUCACCGUCUUUGAGAAAUGCAAAAGUAGCAGCUAUUGGGAAGAAAAGUAAGAUCAGCAAAUAUUUGUAAAAUGAUUGGUAGCUGUUGUGUUUGGUGAUGGUAAAUGCUGUUUAGGUGUAUAGUAUUUAUAGGAAAGCUAAGUAGGUUUCGUUAAUUCAUAGCAAGUUAGAAAAAAUAUUCAAUCCCGCAAGAUUUUAGGGAUCAAAUCUUUGAUAUUAUUGUGUGAUUGGAAUAUGCUAGGAUCAAUCGUUUAUUUAAUAUUUAAUUUCUUUCUAUAAUUCGUAAUUAAGAGGAUAUUGUUAGGAUUUUGUUGUUUUGGAAAGUUGCAUUAAGAGGAUAUGCUAAUAUUGACCCGAAA